GGGGUUGUGGCUCAGUGGUAGAGCGCUUGCCUAGCAUGCAUGAGGCUCUGAGUUGGAUCCCCAGGGCUGCACCA
rnacentral:tRNA from 1 species